CCCUAAAAAGUUCUGCAGGCA
rnacentral:tRNA from 1 species